UUUCCGUAGGUGAACCUGCGGAAGGAUCAUUAAAAAAAUAUAGAAUUUCAUAUUCUUAAAUCCCUGCAGUGUACUUGUUCUUGUUGCUUCCGUGGGUAGUCGGCCUUGUGCUUGCGACCGCCUUCAUGGUGGACCCGCGGGAGGUAAUCAUAAACUCCCGUCUUCAUAUGGUAUCUGUCUGAGCUUGUUUAGUUCAUAAACGUUAAAACUUUCAACAACGGAUCUCUUGGUUCUC
rnacentral:misc_RNA from 1 species